AUUGAUCGCUGGCGGCAGGCCUAACACAUGCAAGUCGAGCGAGCGGCGGACGGGUGAGUAAUGUAUGGGGACUGCCCGAUAGAGGGGGAUAACUACUGGAAACGGUAGCUAAUACCGCAUACUAUCUGAUAACCCAUAUGGGAUUAGCUAGUAGGUGAGGUAAUGGCUCACCUAGGCGACGAUCCCUAGCUGGUCUGAGAGGAUGAUCAGGCACACUGGGACUGAGACACGGCCCAGACUCCGACGGAGGCAGCAGUGGGGAAUAUUGGACAAUGGGGGCAAGCCUGAUGAAGCCAUGCCGAGUGUAUGAAGAAGGCCCUAGGGUUGUAAAGUACUUGCAGUCGGGAGGCGUUACCGAAAGAAGAAGCACCGGCUAACUCCGUGCCAGCCGCCGCGUUAAAUAC
rnacentral:rRNA from 1 species